rnacentral:rRNA from 1 species
CCUACGGUAGGCAGCAGUGGGGAAUAUUGCACAAUGGGGGAAACCCUGAUGCAGCCACGCCGCGUGAGUGAAGAAGUAUUUCGGUAUGUAAAGCUCUUUCAGCCGGGAAGAAAAUGACGGUACCUGAUUAAGAAGCCCCGGCUAACUACGUGCCAGCAGCCGCGGUAAUACGCAGGGGGCAGGCGUUAUCCGGAUUUACUGGGGGUAAAGGGGGCGUAGACGGCAGCACAAGUCUGGAGUGAAAUGCCCGGGCUUAACCCCGGAACUGCUUUGGAAACUGUGCAGCUAGAGUGCAGGAGAGGUAAGUGGAAUGCCUAGUGUAGCGGUGAAAUGCGUAGAUAUUAGGAGGAACACCAGUGGCGAAGGCGGCUUACUGGACUGUAACUGACGUUGAGGCUCGAAAGCGUGGGGAGCAAACAGGAUUAGAUACCCCGGUAGUC